GACGAACGCUGGCGGCGUGCUUAACACAUGCAAGUCGAACGGAAAGGCCUUUUCGGAGGUACUCGAGUGGCGAACGGGUGAGUAACACGUGGGUGAUCUGCCCUGCACUCUGGGAUAAGCCUGGGAAACUGGGUCUAAUACCGGAUAGGACCGCACUUUAGUGUGUGUGGUGGAAAGUUUUUUCGGUGUAGGAUGAGCCCGCGGCCUAUCAGCUUGUUGGUGGGGUAAUGGCCUACCAAGGCGGCGACGGGUAGCCGGACUGAGAGGUUGGUCGGCCACAUUGGGACUGAGAUACGGCCCAGACUCCUACGGGAGGCGGCAGUGGGGAAUAUUGCACAAUGGGCGCAAGCCUGAUGCAGCGACGCCGCGUGGGGGAUGACGGCCUUCGGGUUGUAAACUCCUUUCGCCAGGGACGAAGCGUUUUGUGACGGUACCUGGAGAAGAAGCACCGGCUAACUACGUG
rnacentral:rRNA from 1 species